rnacentral:rRNA from 1 species
UACAGAGGGUGCAAGCGUUAAUCGGAGUUACUGGGCGUAAAGGGCGCGUAGGCGGUAAUGAAAGAGUGAUGUGAAAGCCCCGGGCUUAACCUGGGAAGGGCAUCGCUAACUUUAUUGCUGGAGUGCAGGAGAGGGUGGCGGAAUUUCCGGUGUAGCGGUGAAAUGCGUAGAGAUCGGAAGGAACGUCGAUGGCGAAGGCAGCCACCUGGCCUGUAACUGACGCUGAGGCGCGAAAGCGUGGGUAGCGAACAGG